rnacentral:rRNA from 1 species
UACGUAGGGGUCCGAGCGUUGUCCGGAAUUACUGGGCGUAAAGGGCUCGUAGGCGGUUUGUCGCGUCGGGAGUGAAAUCCAUUGGCUUAACUGGUGGCUUGCUUUCGAUACGGGCAGACUGGAGGUAUGCAGGGGGAGAACGGAAUCCCUGGUGUAGCGGUGAAAUGCGCAGAUAUCUACCAGAACGCCGAUAGCGAAGGCAGCUCGCUGGGGACGUACCGACGCUGAGGCACGAUAGCGUGGGGAUCGAACAGG